rnacentral:rRNA from 1 species
AUUGAACGCUGGCGGCAUGCCUUACACAUGCAAGUCGAACGGUAACAGGUCUUCGGAUGCUGACGAGUGGCGAACGGGUGAGUAAUACAUCGGAACGUGCCCGAUCGUGGGGGAUAACGGAGCGAAAGCUUUGCUAAUACCGCAUACGAUCUACGGAUGAAAGCAGGGGACCGCAAGGCCUUGCGCGGACGGAGCGGCCGAUGGCAGAUUAGGUAGUUGGUGGGAUAAAAGCUUACCAAGCCGACGAUCUGUAGCUGGUCUGAGAGGACGACCAGCCACACUGGGACUGAGACACGGCCCAGACUCCUACGGGAGGCAGCAGUGGGGAAUUUUGGACAAUGGGCGAAAGCCUGAUCCAGCCAUGCCGCGUGCAGGAUGAAGGCCUUCGGGUUGUAAACUGCUUUUGUACGGAACGAAAAGACUCUUUCUAAUAAAGAGGGUCCAUGACGGUACCGUAAGAAUAAGCACCGGCUAACUACGU